rnacentral:tRNA from 1 species
AUUUAAAUAGUUUAAGAAAAAUUUUGAUUUGUGGAAUCAAAGAUAUCUGUGAGAUUUUAGAUU